UAGGGAAUAUUGCAAAAUGGGCGAAAGCCCGAUGCAGCAACGCCGCGUGGGCGAUGAAGGCCUUCGGGUCGUAAAGCCCUUUUUGAGGGGAUGAGGAAGGACAGUACCCUCAGAAUAAGCCUCGGCUAACUACGUGCCAGCAGCCGCGGUAAAACGUAGGAGGCGAGCGUUAUCCGGAUUUACUGGGAGUAAAGCGCGUGCAGGCGGAUUGGAGAGUUGGAUGUGAAAGCUCCCGGCUUAACUGGGAGAGGUCGUUCAAUACUUCCAGUCUUGAGUGCAGUAGAGGGAAGUGGAAUUCCGGGUGUAGUGGUGAAAUGCGUAGAUAUCCGGAGGAACACCAGUGGCGAAAGCGGCUUCCUGGACUGUAACUGACGCUCAGACGCGAAAGCUAGGGUAGCAAACG
rnacentral:rRNA from 1 species